AAGUAGUAAGCUCUGUUGGGACAAAGUCCAGAUGAAGACUCACCUGUGGGGAUUUAGAGCAGCAUGAGUGGACAUAAAAGGAAUUUCCUAUGAUACACAGUUCUCGCCCUAUUUUACGGAGCUCAUAGAAGUAAACAUACAGUAUGUCUG